rnacentral:rRNA from 1 species
GCAAGCUUAAAACUCAAAGGAAUAGACGGGGGCUCGCACAAGCGGUGGAGCGUGUGGCUUAAUUCGUCGAUAAGCGAAGAACCUUACCUGGACUUGAAACCUAGCNGUAUGCACUCUUGGAAACAAGAGCGCCUUCAGGCUAGGCAGGUGAUGCAUGGCCGUCGUCAGUUCGUGGCUUGAGUUGUUCCCUUAAGUGGGGUAACGAACGCAACCCUCGUUGUCAGUUACAAGUGUCUGACGAGACUGCCCCCUAACGGGGGAGGAAGGUGAGGAUGACGCCAGGUCAGCAUGUCCCUUUGACGUCCAGGGCUGCACACGCGCUACAAUGGGUGCUACAGCGGGGCGCGACGCCGUAAGGCUGAGCAAAUCCUUCAAAAGCACCCCCAGUUCGGAUUGAGGUCUGCAACUCGACCUCAUGAAGCCGGAAUCGCUAGUAAUGGCGGGUCAGCACACCGCCGUGAAUACGUUCUCGAG